UCGUGCCCCACCCCCACCAACCUCUGGCCAGACACUUCCCUCCCCUUGAGCACCACCUUGUUCCUUAAACUGAUCAUACCUCUUCCUGCCACGGGGCCUUUGCACGUGCUGUUCCCUCUUCCUGCUGCAGGUUUCCCUUGACGCAUCCUCACCUGGCUCCUGCCUUCUUGUUCCUCAGAUCUUAGCUUCACCUCACCAACUUUUGUUGGCUGCCUGCUGUCCUGCAAACACUGUAGAGUGCUUUGCAUGGGUUUUCUUUUGUAGUCCUUGCACCAGACCCUGAGUCGGGUGGCCCUGUAAUUCUCACACACGCUUUCUAUGAAUUAGCCAGUGACUUGUGGAGUCAGGGUUCAAACCCAGGCUCCAUGCCCAACCUCCUUUCCCCCUGACCUCCCUCCCCUCACCAGACACCAGCCUCCCUCCCUGCUUCCCCUCCUCCCUGCCCCCCAGCCCCUCGCAGAGGCCCCCCCUAACAGGUGGGAACUCCUGGUGGUCUAAAGGUCUGUCCUCCCCAUCAGAUUAGCUGCUCACUGCAGGCAGGCUCCAGGUCCAACUGAUCCCUCGCUCCUCCCCAUCAGGAUUCAGAACUGCCCUGGCUGUGUGGAAUGAGUGAGUGAAUGAAUGAAUAGGUGGUCAGCACUGACCCUGGGUCACUCUGUCCUGUGACAGAGUCUAAGUAUCUGGUUCUGCUCAUUGGAAGAAUGCACCAGGCCAGCAGGCAGAGGAGGCACCCACCUGGUGUUGAGGUUGUUGGGGAAGGAGGAGUGACUUCGAACAUCACAGAGCCCUCCAUGUGCCACAUACUUUCUCAGGGACCAGUGUAGAACCUCCAUGCGGGACACAUCACUGCUAGGAUUCUGAAGACAGGGAACCAGAGCCCAGAGAUAAAGGCUCAAACCGAUUAUAACGGUAAUCAUGUAUGAAGAGAAGGAUAUUUUCCCUGUUAGCUUUAAAUUUCAUUUUAAUAUUUAGUAUUUAUUAACAUUUGAAAUCCAGUCUCCUAGAGUACGGACUUCAGUUAACUUAGCUGAUUCUAAUUACUUGUUUUCGCAUUUGUUUGUCAUUUAGCUUUUCAGUAUUUUUAUUCUUUAUCUUUUUAACUGGCUAAAUAAUAGAAUUUUUCUUUUAUUAUUAUUUCUCAGCCCCCUUUUUCCAGGAACAAUCAAUACUGAUCUUCACUUAUGGACGUAGUGUGUGCAUUUAUGUGCCAACAUUGCAUAGGCGGUGAUUAAUCCAAAAAACUCUCACAAAACCAGAGCCAGUGAGUUCUGCAAAACAUGAGAAUGUAUUAUUUUAAAUGCUUUUAUCUUGUGAAAUGUAAUAGAUCCACAGAAAAACUCUAUAAUGU
rnacentral:lncRNA from 1 species